UAAACUCACCGUGCUGUCCCGACUGCCUAGAAAAGUGCUUGGGACAGAGUGAAUGCUCGGUUCAGAAGAAGCAGCUCUGUGAACACUGGAAGGAAAGUGGUGCCAGGAAAGGGCAACAGUUAUUGCCAAGGCCCUGAGGCUGACCUGCUUUGGCACGGCCAGGAGUGGAAAUGAUG